rnacentral:sRNA from 2 species
AGGAUUUUCUGUUCUCUUCUUCUCUUCAUCUUGGCUACGGAAUUACUAUCUUUAGACAUUCGAUACGUACUGAAAAGCUCAGUCACGGUGCCUGCAGGCUGGUCGCGAAAAUCAUCUGUAUCCACACAUCGAGUUAUUAGGGUAUGCAUUGGACUCAAGCAACAUGGAUGGGAGACAUUCGAACAACAUCUUAUGGAGAGUAUGUAUUGUGUUAUUGUCUGUUGUCUAUCCCAGAUAUGUUAAUUAAUAUAAAUGUAGUCUCUGAUCCAUCUCACCCACGAUAUGGGAAGCACCUCUCUUCAAAUGAAGUGAACCAGUUGGUUAAAGCUGCUCCGGAAUCCUUAAACGCGGUAACUACGUGGCUUCAAGAAGCUAGUUCCUUUCCACCAAAUUUGACAUUAUCCACUUCUGGAGACUUGGUAUCAUUUAACGCGCCGAUUGAGGUAAUUGAACGAUUGUUUAUGGCAAAGUAUGCGGAAUAUCAACAUGAGGAUGGAUCAACCAUCAUACGAACUUUGUCAUGGUCCGUGCCUGCCGAUCUAGUCAAUCACAUUGAUGUCGUCGAGCCCACCAAUUCGUUUUUCAAGCCACAUGGACAAUCUAGAUAUGGAGGUCCACCCCCACCAGAUUGGGAAAACGAGCAUCGGAUCCCAACUUACGAGGAACUAGUAGAAGAGGAUGUGUUAGAGCGAGGUCAUCUCGACAUCCCUCUAGCCCAUGAGCUAUCCCGGGCCCCCACAGUCAAAGAA